CAGUAGCCGCGGGAAUACGAAGGGUGCAAGCGUUAAUCGGAAUUACUGGGCGUAAAGCGCGCGUAGGUGGUUUGGUAAGAUGGAUGUGAAAUCCCCGGGCUCAACCUGGGAACUGCAUCCAUAACUGCCUGACUAGAGUACGGUAGAGGGUGGUGGAAUUUCCUGUGUAGCGGUGAAAUGCGUAGAUAUAGGAAGGAACACCAGUGGCGAAGGCGACCACCUGGACUGAUACUGACACUGAGGUGCGAAAGCGUGGGGAGCAAACAGGAUUAGAUACCCCGGUAGUCCCUGUCUCUUAUAC
rnacentral:rRNA from 1 species